AUGGAAUGGAGCUGGAUCUUUCUUUUCCUCUUGUCAGUAACUGCAGUUGUCCACUCCCAGGUCCAGUUGCAGCAGUCUGGAGCUGAGCUGGCGAAACCUGGGACUUCAGUGAAGCUGUCCUGCAAGACUUCUGGCUACACCUUCACCAGCUAUAAUAUUCACUGGGUAAAGCAGAGGCCUGGACAGGGCCUUGAGUGGAUCGGAUAUAUUUAUCCUGGAAGUGGUUAUACUUACUACAGUGAGAAGUUCAAGGGCAAGGCCACAUUUACUGCAGACACAUCCUCCAGCACAGCCUACAUGCUACUAGGCAGCCUGACAUCUGAGGACUCUGCGGACUAUUUCUGUGCAAGACACACAGUAUAG